AGAGGCACAAAUUUCGAAUGGUUAAUUAAGUUAUAUUGGUUUAGUUCAUGAAUGAUGAUGAAAAUAAAUAGUUGCAGUUUCCCAAUCAACAAUUGUCAUCUUUCUAUAUGGGCCAUGUUACCCAAACCAAAAAGCCAAACACACCAUACGAAAACCUCUCCUCCACCAGUCUUCUACCACAAACAAUUGAAUUAGCCGCCCAAAUGCGAAGAAAGAAUAUUCGCACCAUUUAAAGGAAAAGAAGAAAACUGGAGGAGGACCCCCACCCCUAUCGGAGGUUACACAGAAAAUUGUUGAGAUGAUCCCAAAGGAAUUUGGCCAGUUUGUUAAUCCAUAUGACGACGAUGCUGCAGAGAUGGCUGAAGACGAAAAUCCAGUCUCAACUCAGAAUUGACUGAGGAUGUUCAUGAACAUAUAGAAUUAAACGAAGAUGAUAUUAGACCUAAUGAUAUUGGUGAUACAGUCGAGGUUGACAAAGUUAAAGAAUUAGAAAAUGAAACCCCAGUUUUAAGGCGAAAACCUGAACCUGCUCAAAAAAGAGUGAAAACCUCAGUUUCACCAAUAGUGAGUGAAUUUGAAAGCAGUAUAUAUGAAUUAUCCAAAACAGAGCAUAACUGCAAAUUACAGCUUUUAAAAGAAGAACACACAGUUAAAAUGCAAAUUCUUGAUCUUAAGAAGCAACUGCUAGAAAAUCAGAAGAUCAAGCCCAUCUAGCCCAUUGUGAUGAAACUGACUAUGUAUGUUUAUAACCCACAAAUCUUGGUACUUUUCCCUUCAUUGUUAGCUUGUUGGCCUUCUAGAGGUCGUAAUCUUAUUUGAAUUUGUAUUUCAUGAAAAUUGGACUGAUACUGACAAAAUGGCCAUCCUCCUUUAUGCAAAUAAUAUAAGCAUGUAGUACCAAGGUUGUUGACCCUCUCGAAAUCAGUUUUUAUCCAAUUUUGAUCCAGUUUUUGCUUCUAUAUUAACACAUGUGGUGCUGUAACAAUCAAGAUUAUGGCCCCUGAUUGUACAUGUAUGAACAGUCGUUGUAUUUUAGCCCCUGACCAUCUCAUGCAAAGCAUAUCUAGUAUGACAACCGCUUGUUACACUUCUAGCAAGAAACAUCAUAUGUCAUAAUAGCCAAGUUAAUCUAAUUAAUGAAAA